AUCCUUCUUGUUCAAGAAGUAUGAUGAUUGGUGCGUUCACGGACAAUCCGUGUAAGGUGCAGCCUUCUUGUUACGCAUGCGCCUCAGCCCGUCUGACC
ensembl:snoRNA Small nucleolar RNA U13